GAUGAACGCUGGCGGCGUGCCUAAUACAUGCAAGUCGAGCGAACAGACGAGGAGCUUGCUCCUCUGACGUUAGCGGCGGACGGGUGAGUAACACGUGGAUAACCUACCUAUAAGACUGGGAUAACUUCGGGAAACCGGAGCUAAUACCGGAUAAUAUAUUGAACCGCAUGGUUCAAUAGUGAAAGACGGUUUUGCUGUCACUUAUAGAUGGAUCCGCGCCGCAUUAGCUAGUUGGUAAGGUAACGGCUUACCAAGGCAACGAUGCGUAGCCGACCUGAGAGGGUGAUCGGCCACACUGGAACUGAGACACGGUCCAGACUCCUACGGGAGGUAGCAGUAGGGAAUCUUCCGCAAUGGGCGAAAGCCUGACGGAGCAACGCCGCGUGAAUGAUGAAGGUCUUCGGAUCGUAAAACUCUGUUAUUAGGGAAGAACAAAUGUGUAAGUAACUAUGCACGUCUUGACGGUACCUAAUCAGAAAGCCACGGCUAACUACGUG
rnacentral:rRNA from 1 species